UACGCAGGGGGCUAGCGUUGCUCGGAAUCACUGGGCGUAAAGCGCACGUAGGCGGAUUCUUAAGUCAGGGGUGAAAUCCCGAGGCUCAACCUCGGAACUGCCUUUGAUACUGGGAAUCUUGAGUAUGGUAGAGGUUGGUGGAACAGCAAGUGUAGAGGUGAAAUUCGUAGAUAUUUGCUAGAACACCAGUGGCGAAGGCGGCCAACUGGACCAUAACUGACGCUGAGGUGCGAAAGCGUGGGGAGCAAACAGG
rnacentral:rRNA from 1 species